UUCCAAAUGAAAUACCUAUAGAGGUUUGGAAAAUUGUAGAAGGUAUUAAAUUAAAUUGUUUUACUAAUCGAUUUAAUAAAAUUUUAAAAACUACUAAAAUGUUGCAUGGUUGGAGGCAUUAGCAAGUGUUUGGAGCUGCACAGCACAGCAAGUAUAUGUCAAGCUACUAUAGGCUUAUAUCAACGAUUUGCACCAAGACCAUAUGAUUAUGGAUAAUAUUGCUGCUAAUGUUUAAGAAGUUAUACCAUGACGAAACGAGAAUAGAUUAUAUAAUAAAUUAGACUAAUGG
rnacentral:lncRNA from 1 species